CCCUUAGAUGUCCGGGGCUGCACGCGCGCUACACUGAAGGAAUCAGCGUGCUAAAACCAUUGUCGAAAGGCAUUGGUAAACCCAUUAAAAUCCUACGUGAUUGGGAUCGGGAAUUGCAAUUAUUUCCCUUGAACGAGGAGUUCCCAGUAAGUGUGGGUCAUAAGCUCGCGUUGAUUACGUCCCUGCCCUUUGUACACACCGCCCGUCGCUGCCCGGGACUGAGCCGUUUCGAGAAAAGCGGGGACUGCUGCUGUCGGGGCUUUCGGGCCUUGGCUUCGGUGGAAACCGCUUUAAUCGCAGUGGCUUGAACCGGGCAAAAGUCGUAACA
rnacentral:rRNA from 1 species